rnacentral:rRNA from 2 species
GUCGAGCGGAUGAGUGGAGCUUGCUCCAUGAUUCAGCGGCGGACGGGUGAGUAAUGCCUAGGAAUCUGCCUGGUAGUGGGGGACAACGUUUCGAAAGGAACGCUAAUACCGCAUACGUCCUACGGGAGAAAGUGGGGGAUCUUCGGACCUCACGCUAUCAGAUGAGCCUAGGUCGGAUUAGCUAGUUGGUGAGGUAAAGGCUCACCAAGGCGACGAUCCGUAACUGGUCUGAGAGGAUGAUCAGUCACACUGGAACUGAGACACGGUCCAGACUCCUACGGGAGGCAGCAGUGGGGAAUAUUGGACAAUGGGCGAAAGCCUGAUCCAGCCAUGCCGCGUGUGUGAAGAAGGUCUUCGGAUUGUAAAGCACUUUAAGUUGGGAGGAAGGGCAGUAAGUUAAUACCUUGCUGUUUUGACGUUACCGACAGAAUAAGCACCGGCUAACUUCGUGCCAGCAGCCGCGGUAAUACGAAGGGUGCAAGCGUUAAUCGGAAUUACUGGGCGUAAAGCGCGCGUAGGUGGUU